ensembl:miRNA MIR6841 microRNA 6841
GUGUUUAGGGUACUCAGAGCAAGUUGUGAAACACAGGUGUUUUUUAACCUCACCUUGCAUCUGCAUCCCCAG